CGGUAAUUCCAGCUCCAAUAGCGUAUAUUAAAGUUGUUGCAGUUAAAAAGCUCGUAGUUGGAUGUCUGGCCUCGUUGGGUGGUCCGCCGCAAGGUGAGUACUGCCUGGUGGGGUCUUCCUCUCGAAUGCCGCGUGUGCUCUUAACUGAGUGUGCGUGGGGUUUGGGAUCUUUACUUUGAAAAAAUUAGAGUGUUCAAAGCAGGCGAUUGCUUGAAUAUAUUAGCAUGGAAUAAUGGAAUAGGACCUGGGUUCUAUUUUGUUGGUUUCUAGGACCGAGGUAAUGAUUAAUAGGGAUAGUUGGGGGCAUUCGUAUUUAAUUGUCAGAGGUGAAAUUCUUGGAUUUAUGAAAGACGAACUUCUGCGAAAGCAUUUGCCAAGGAUGUUUUCAUUAAUCAAGAACGAAAGUUAGGGGAUCGAAGACGAUCAGAUACCGUCGUAGUCUUAACCAUAAACUAUGCCGACUAGGGAUGGGUGGACGUCUUUCAUGACUUCAUCCGCACCUUAUGAGAAAUCAAAGUUUUUGGGUUCCGGGGGGAGUAUGGUCGCAAGGCUGAAACUUAAAGGAAUUGACGGAAGGGCACCACCAGGAGUGGAGCCUGCGGCUUAAUUUGACUCAACACGGGAAAACUCACCAGGUCCAGACAUAGUAAGGAUUGACAGAUUGAGAGCUCUUUCUUGAUUCUAGGGGUGGCGGGGCAUGUCCGUUCUUAGGGGGUGGAGUGUUUGGUUAGGUUAAUUCCGUUACCGAACGAGACCUUAACCUAUUAACUAGUCACGCGAUUGUCAAAUCGUGGGUGACUUAUUAGAGGGACUAUCGCCGUUCAGUCGAUGGAAGUGCGAGGCCAUAUCAGGUCUGUCAUGCCAUUAGAUGUUCUGCGCCCCACGCGCGCUACACUGGUGACGUGCAUCGAGUCUCCUCGCAUCGGAAGGUCUGGGCAAUCUUCUGUACUGUCGUCGUGCUUGGGAUAGAUCUUUGUAAUUUUCGAUCUUCAAGCGAGGAAUUCCUAGUAGACGCGACUACAUCAGAUCGCGUCGAUUCCGUCCCUGCCCCCACUACACACCACCCAAGAGGUGAAUC
rnacentral:rRNA from 1 species